rnacentral:rRNA from 1 species
AGUGAACGCUGGCGGUAGGCCUAACACAUGCAAGUCGAACGGCAGCACAGUAAGAGCUUGCUCUUACGGGUGGCGAGUGGCGGACGGGUGAGGAAUACAUCGGAAUCUACUUUUUCGUGGGGGAUAACGUAGGGAAACUUACGCUAAUACCGCAUACGACCUACGGGUGAAAGCAGGGGAUCUUCGGACCUUGCGCGAUUGAAUGAGCCGAUGUCGGAUUAGCUAGUUGGCGGGGGAAGGGCCCACCAAGGCGACGAUCCGUAGCUGGUCUGGGGGGAUGGUCAGCCACACUGGAACUUGAACACGGUCCAGGCUCCUACGGGAGGCCGCAGUGGGGAAUAUUGGACAGUGGGCGCAAGCCUGAUCCAGCCAUACCGCGUGGGUGAAGAAGGCCUUCGGGUUGUAAAGCCCUUUUGUUGGGAAAGAAAAGCAGCAGGUUAAUACCCCGCUGUUCUGACGGUACCCAAAGAAUAAGCACCGGCUAACUUCGUG